AGAUAUUUAUAUUAUUAAUAGGAAAGUCAUAAAUAUAUAAAUUAUAUUAUAUAAUUAAUAUAAUAAUAAAAUAAAUUAUAUAUUUUAUUUAUAAUAUUAUUUCUUUAUAAGAUAAAUAUUAUCUAAUAAUAUUUAUAAAGAAAUAUAUAUAUAUAUAAAAAGUCAUUAUAUAAAUUUAAUUAUAAUUUAAAUAAAUUUUAUAUAAAUUAAUAUAAUAUUAAUAAAGUAAUUAGUAUAAAUAAAUAAUAUGAAAAUAAAACUUAAUAAAUAUAUAAAUAUAGUCCAUAUAUAUAUAUUAAUAAAAAGUAAUAUAUAUAUAUAUAUUGGAAUAGUUAUAUUAUUAUACAGAAAUAUGCUUAAUUAUAAUAUAAUAUCCA
rnacentral:RNase_MRP_RNA from 2 species